rnacentral:rRNA from 1 species
CGACGGGUGAGUAACGCGUGGGUAACCUGCCUUACACAGGGGGGAUAACACUUAGAAAUAGGUGCUAAUACCGCAUGAGCGCACAGGACCGCAUGGUCGAGUGUGAAAAACUGAGGUGGUGUAAGAUGGACCCGCGUCUGAUUAGCUAGUUGGUGAGGUAACGGCCCACCAAGGCGACGAUCAGUAGCCGGCCUGAGAGGGUGGACGGCCACAUUGGGACUGAGACACGGCCCAAACUCCUACGGAAGGCAGCAG